rnacentral:rRNA from 1 species
ACUCCUACGGGAGGCAGCAGUGAGGAAUAUUGCACAAUGGGCGCAAGCCUGAUGCAGCGACGCCGCGUGGGCGAUGAAGGUCUUCGGAUCGUAAAGCCCUUUUCUGUGUGACGAGAAAAAGGACGGUAGCACAGGAAUAAGUGUCGGCUAACUACGUGCCAGCAGCCGCGGUAAAACGUAGGACGCAAAUGUUAUCCGGAAUUACUGGGCGUAAAGCGUGCGCAGGCGGAUAUGUAAGUUAGAAGUGAAAUCCCCGGGCUCAACCUGGGAAUGGCUUUUAAGACUGCGUAUCUAGAGUUUGUCAGAGGGGGGUGGAAUUCCAAGUGUAGCAGUGAAAUGCGUAGAGAUUUGGAGGAACACCAAUGGCGAAGGCAACCCCCUGGGAUAAAACUGACGCUCAUGCACGAAAGCGUGGGUAGCAAACAGGAUUAGAUACCCUGGUAGUCCACGCCCUAAACGAUGUCUACUUGCUGUUGGGGGCAACCUUAGUAGCGAAGCUAACGCGAGAAGUAGACCGCCUGGGGAGUACGGUCGCAAGAUUAAAACUCAAAGGAAUUGAUGGGGAC